UAGGGAAUUUUGCGCAAUGGGGGAAACCCUGACGCAGCAACGCCAUGUGUGGGAUGAAGCAUUUCGGUGUGUAAACCACUGUCGGCAGGGAAUAAAGCCCGCGCUUGCGCGGGGGUGAAUGUACCUGCAGAGGAAGCCCCGGCUAACUUCGUGCCAGCAGCCGCGGUAAUACGAGGGGGGCAAGUGUUGUUCGGAAUCACUGGGCGUAAAGGGAGCGUAGGCGGAAGCUUAAGUCGGGAGUUUAAAACCGGGGCCCAACCCCGGGGCGGCUCCCGAAACUGGGUUUCUUGAAUGGGACAGAGGCUGGUGGAAUUGGGGGUGUAGCGGUGGAAUGCGUAGAGAUCCCCAAGAACACCGAUUGCGAAGGCAGCCAGCUGGGUCCACAUUGACGCUGAGGCUC
rnacentral:rRNA from 1 species